GUCAGUGGUAGCUUAGUGGGUAGGACAUUGGACUCCUGAUUGGAAGUUCGUGAGUUCAAAUCCCAGCACUGGCA